UAAUAAUAAUAAGAGGCUAUGCCUCUUUUUCUCUCAGAACCGAGAGAAGGAAAGAAGAGAAAGAAAAGAUGGGAAAUUUUCUCAUUCUUGCGAUCUACGAAGAUCUAACGGUCCGAUCUUCGAUCCGUCUUCGGAAACGUGAUCCUUGCACUUGGAUCUACGUUUCCACCGAUCGUUUUAAGGUAAUGGGUUACUUGGAACUUGCUUAAGACUACCCAAACCAUGGGUUUUGGUUUGGUGAAUUUUGGAUAGUGUCCGGAUUGGAGUCUUUAAUGGGUUCUCCAAUGUAGAGUUCGAGUCAUGGUCCAAUGCAGCCAAGAUGAUGUUCUUUUGGCUGCAGGUAUUCCGGUCGUAGUUGAUAGCAUUGUAGAAGGGUAAUUUGGAUGUUAUGACUGAAGCACGCCGCAACGGUCGUAAUUGGUGGACCACGGGUUGUCCACUUAUUUAUAGGUUUGGGUUAUGGCUUGUGACGUUUGUGUCACUUGUUAUUGUACAAAACCAUUUAUGUCACUUAUUUAAUUCGUGGAAAGAUUUAAUCAUAUAGAUAUUUAAUGGCUCUUUGUUGUAAUUAUUUGUGAUAGAUGUAUAAGAUACGAUUUCUGCUAUUAGGUUAUAUUUUCCGCUGCAUAGUUGAUAGAUGUUAUA